rnacentral:rRNA from 1 species
CUGUGAGCUCGAUGAGUAGGGCGGGACACGUGGUAUCCUGUCUGAAUAUGGGGGGACCAUCCUCCAAGGCUAAAUACUCCUGACUGACCGAUAGUGAACCAGUACCGUGAGGGAAAGGCGAAAAGAACCCCGGCGAGGGGAGUGAAAAAGAACCUGAAACCGUGUACGUACAAGCAGUGGGAGCACAGAGCAAUCUGUGUGACUGCGUACCUUUUGUAUAAUGGGUCAGCGACUUAUAUUCUGUAGCAAGGUUAACCGAAUAGGGGAGCCGAAGGGAAACCGAGUCUUAACUGGGCGUUAAGUUGCAGGGUAUAGACCCGAAACCCGGUGAUCUAGCCAUGGGCAGGUUGAAGGUUGGGUAACACUAACUGGAGGACCGAACCGACUAAUGUUGAAAAAUUAGCGGAUGACUUGUGGCUGGGGGUGAAAGGCCAAUCAAACCGGGAGAUAGCUGGUUCUCCCCGAAAGCUAUUUAGGUAGCGCCUCGUGAAUUCAUCUCCGGGGGUAGAGCACUGUUUCGGCAAGGGGGUCAUCCCGACUUACCAACCCGAUGCAAACUGCGAAUACCGGAGAAUGUUAUCACGGGAGACACACGGCGGGUGCUAACGUCCGUCGUGAAGAGGGAAACAACCCAGACCGCCAGCUAAGGUCCCAAAGUCAUGGUUAAGUGGGAAACGAUGUGGGAAGGCCCAGACAGCCAGGAUGUUGGCUUAGAAGCAGCCAUCAUUUAAAGAAAGCGUAAUAGCUCACUGGUCGAGUCGGCCUGCGCGGAAGAUGUAACGGGGCUAAACCAUGCACCGAAGCUGCGGCAGCGACGCUUAUGCGUUGUUGGGUAGGGGAGCGUUCUGUAAGCCUGCGAAGGUGUGCUGUGAGGCAUGCUGGAGGUAUCAGAAGUGCGAAUGCUGACAUAAGUAACGAUAAAGCGGGUGAAAAGCCCGCUCGCCGGAAGACCAAGGGUUCCUGUCCAACGUUAAUCGGGGCAGGGUGAGUCGACCCCUAAGGCGAGGCCGAAAGGCGUAGUCGAUGGGAAACAGGUUAAUAUUCCUGUACUUGGUGUUACUGCGAAGGGGGGACGGAGAAGGCUAUGUUGGCCGGGCGACGGUUGUCCCGGUUUAAGCGUGUAGGCUGGUUUUCCAGGCAAAUCCGGAAAACUAAGGCUGAGGCGUGAUGACGAGGCACUACGGUGCUGAAGCAACAAAUGCCCUGCUUCCAGGAAAAGCCUCUAAGCAUCAGGUAACAUCAAAUCGUACCCCAAACCGACACAGGUGGUCAGGUAGAGAAUACCAAGGCGCUUGAGAGAACUCGGGUGAAGGAACUAGGCAAAAUGGUGCCGUAACUUCGGGAGAAGGCACGCUGAUAUGUAGGUGAAGCGACUUGCUCGUGGAGCUGAAAUCAGUCGAAGAUACCAGCUGGCUGCAACUGUUUAUUAAAAACACAGCACUGUGCAAACACGAAAGUGGACGUAUACGGUGUGACGCCUGCCCGGUGCCGGAAGGUUAAUUGAUGGGGUCAGCGCAAGCGAAGCUCUUGAUCGAAGCCCCGGUAAACGGCGGCCGUAACUAUAACGGUCCUAAGGUAGCGAAAUUCCUUGUCGGGUAAGUUCCGACCUGCACGAAUGGCGUAAUGAUGGCCAGGCUGUCUCCACCCGAGACUCAGUGAAAUUGAACUCGCUGUGAAGAUGCAGUGUACCCGCGGCAAGACGGAAAGACCCCGUGAACCUUUACUAUAGCUUGACACUGAACAUUGAGCCUUGAUGUGUAGGAUAGGUGGGAGGCUUUGAAGUGUGGACGCCAGUCUGCAUGGAGCCGACCUUGAAAUACCACCCUUUAAUGUUUGAUGUUCUAACGUUGACCCGUGAUCCGGGUUGCGGACAGUGUCUGGUGGGUAGUUUGACUGGGGCGGUCUCCUCCUAAAGAGUAACGGAGGAGCACGAAGGUUGGCUAAUCCUGGUCGGACAUCAGGAGGUUAGUGCAAUGGCAUAAGCCAGCUUGACUGCGAGCGUGACGGCGCGAGCAGGUGCGAAAGCAGGUCAUAGUGAUCCGGUGGUUCUGAAUGGAAGGGCCAUCGCUCAACGGAUAAAAGGUACUCCGGGGAUAACAGGCUGAUACCGCCCAAGAGUUCAUAUCGACGGCGGUGUUUGGCACCUCGAUGUCGGCUCAUCACAUCCUGGGGCUGAAGUAGGUCCCAAGGGUAUGGCUGUUCGCCAUUUAAAGUGGUACGCGAGCUGGGUUUAGAACGUCGUGAGACAGUUCGGUCCCUAUCUGCCGUGGGCGCUGGAGAACUGAGGGGGGCUGCUCCUAGUACGAGAGGACCGGAGUGGACGCAUCACUGGUGUUCGGGUUGUCAUGCCAAUGGCACUGCCCGGUAGCUAAAUGCGGAAGAGAUAAGUGCUGAAAGCAUCUAAGCACGAAACUUGCCCCGAGAUGAGUUCUCCCUGACUCCUUGAGAGUCCUGAAGGAACGUUGAAGACGACGACGUUGAUAGGCCGGGUGUGUAAGCGCAGCGAUGCGUUGAGCUAACCGGUACUAAUGAACCGUGAGGCUUAACCUU